rnacentral:rRNA from 1 species
UACGUAGGCAGCGAGCGUUGUUCGGAAUUACUGGGCGUAAAGGGCGCGUCGGCGGCCUGUUAAGUCGAACGUGAAAUCCCCGGGCUCAACCCGGGAACUGCGUCCGAUACUGGCAGGCUUGAAUCCGGGAGAGGGAUGCGGAAUUCCAGGUGUAGCGGUGAAAUGCGUAGAUAUCUGGAGGAACACCGGUGGCGAAGGCGGCAUCCUGGACCGGCAUUGACGCUGAGGCGCGAAAGCCAGGGGAGCAAACGGG